CAUGACUGACAUUCCCAACCAAAGCUUUUGCGGGCAAGCAGCCAUUGAGGUUAUCCAUUUGGUUACUCAAGAACCACAGGAAAAGAUGCAGAGGUCACCUCAUAAAAGAGUAACUUUCGUGAAUAAGCUGUCCAGGUGCAGGGUACUGACCUACAACCAAGCCAUCGUGCCACAUGGAAUAUUUACUUGGAACAGAUAAGCUAAAGGGACUAUGUGGGGUUUUCGGGAAGCAGCUGGGCCAGUGUCUCUUUGGAGAUCAAAUUCAGGCUCCACCCUUUACUGUGGAUGUAAAUAAUACAUUAGCCUAUUUAUUUUUAGUUUGGUAUUCUGUAUUCGCCCUGCGAGGUGGUUGUUAUUACCCUUGAGUAUCUUUAGAGAGCACCCUCAUACAUGUUCUGUUUUGGCAUGUUUUUGUUCCCUUUAAUACAGUUUUAAUGAGCAAUACAUUGAGACAAACAGGGUCUCUGGAAUAGGACUGUCUAAUGAACUGCAUCUUUGUAAGAACCUGAAAAUAAAAGUUAUGCACAGUAUAUAUAUUUAAUAAAUGAUUCAUUCGA